rnacentral:ncRNA from 1 species
UUAUAUUUGCAGGGGAGCAUAAGGGCUGUGUAAGCAGUGGCUGCUGAGAGGGAUUAAGUUCCGACCCAUAACCUGAUGUGGAUAAUGCCACCGUAGGGAUUCUUUAGAGGGCUUUUA